UCAAGAAACUUCCACAAUGGGCGCAAGCCUGAUCCAGCCAUACCGCGUGAGUGAAGAAGGCCUUCGGGUUGUAAAGCUCUUUCAGACGGAAAGAAACGGUUACGGCUAAUACCCGUGACUAAUGACGGUACCGUAAGAAGAAGCACCGGCUAACUACGUGCCAGCAGCCGCGGUAAUACGUAGGGUGCGAGCGUUAAUCGGAAUUACUGGGCGUAAAGCGUGCGCAGGCGGUUUGGUAAGACAGAUGUGAAAUCCCCGGGCUUAACCUGGGAACUGCAUUUGUGACUGCCAGACUAGAGUGUAGCAGAGGGGGGUAGAAUUCCACGUGUAGCAGUGAAAUGCGUAGAUAUGUGGAGGAAUACCGAUGGCGAAGGCAGCCCCCUGGGCUAACACUGACGCUCAUGCACGAAAGCGUGGGGAGCAAACAGGAUUAGAUACCCAAGUAGUCCCUGAGCGGGCUGGCAAGGCGCAU
rnacentral:rRNA from 1 species